rnacentral:rRNA from 1 species
CCUACGGGUGGCAGCAGUGAGGAAUAUUGGUCAAUGGCCGAGAGUCUGAACCAGCCAAGCCGCGUGAAGGAUGACUGCCCAGAGGGUUGUAAACCUCUUUUAUCAAGGAAUAAAACGACGCACGCGUGCCUUUUUGCAUGUACUUUGUGAAUAAGCAUCGGCUAACUCCGUGCCCGCAGCCGCGGUAAUACGGAGGAUCCGAGCGUUAUCCGGAUUUAUUGGGUUUAAAGGGUGCGUAGGUGGGUCGUUAAGUCAGUUGUGAAAGUUCGGGGCUCAACCGUAAAAUUGCAAGUGAUACUGGGAGCCUUGAGUACAGUUGAGGUAGGCGGAAUUCGUGGUGUAGCGGUGAAAUGCUUAGAUAUCACGAAGAACCCCGAUUGCGAAGGCAGCUUACUAUGCUGUGACUGACAUUGAUGCUCGAAAGUGUGGGGAUCAAACAGGAUUAGAUACCCGAGUAGUC